GAUGAACGCUGGCGGCGUGCCUAAUACAUGCAAGUCGAGCGAACAGACGAGGAGCUUGCUCCUCUGACGUUAGCGGCGGACGGGUGAGUAACACGUGGAUAACCUACCUAUAAGACUGGGAUAACUUCGGGGAACCGGAGCUAAUACCGGAUAAUAUAUUGAACCGCAUGGUUCAAUAGUGAAAGACGGUUUUGCUGUCACUUAUAGAUGGAUCCGCGCCGCAUUAGCUAGUUGGUAAGGUAACGGCUUACCAAGGCAACGAUGCGUAGCCGACCUGAGAGGGUGAUCGGCCACACUGGAACUGAGACACGGUCCAGACUCCUACGGGAGGCAGCAGUAGGGAAUCUUCCGCAAAGGGCGAAAGCUUGACGGAGCAACGCCGCGUGAGUGAUGAAGGUCUUCGGAUCGUAAAACUCUGUUAUUAGGGAAGAACAAAUGUGUAAGUAACUAUGCACGUCUUGACGGUACCUAAUCAGAAAGCCACGGCUAACUACGUG
rnacentral:rRNA from 1 species